rnacentral:rRNA from 1 species
GGUUGAUCCUGCCAGUAGUCAUAUGCUUGUCUCAAAGAUUAAGCCAUGCAUGUCUAAGUAUAAGCUUUUAUACGGUGAAACUGCGAAUGGCUCAUUAAAACAGUUAUAGUUUAUUUGAUGGUCACUCACUACUUGGAUAACCGUGGUAAUUCUAGAGCUAAUACAUGCGUCAAGACCCGACUUUUUGGAAGGGUUGUAUUUAUUAGAUAAAGAACCAAUCCAUGCUUGCAUGGUUUUGUGGUGAUUCAUAAUAACUGAUCGAAUCGCAUGCCUUCGGGCGGCGAUGUAUCAUU